UACGAAGGAGGCUAGCGUUGCUCGGAAUCACUGGGCGUAAAGCGCACGUAGGCGGACGAUUAAGUCAGAGGUGAAAGCCUGGAGCUCAACUCCAGAACUGCCUUUGAUACUGGUUGUCUUGAGUUCGGAAGAGGUUGGUGGAACUGCGAGUGUAGAGGUGAAAUUCGUAGAUAUUCGCAAGAACACCGGUGGCGAAGGCGGCCAACUGGUCCGAUACUGACGCUGAGGUGCGAAAGCGUGGGGAUCAAACAGG
rnacentral:rRNA from 1 species